GUCUACGGCCAUGCCACCUUGAACAAACCCAAUCUUGGAAGCUAAGCAGGGUUGGGCCUGGUUAGUACUUGGAUGGGAGGCGACCUAGGAAGAACAGGUGCUGUAGGCG
rnacentral:rRNA from 1 species